rnacentral:tRNA from 1 species
AGGAAUAUGGUGAAAGAGGUAGACACGUUUGAUUUAGAAUUAAAUUUUAUAUAGGUUCAAAUCCUAUUAUUCUUA